rnacentral:misc_RNA from 1 species
GAUGAAGAACGCAGCGAAAUGCGAUAAGUAAUGUGAAUUGCAGAAUUCAGUGAAUCAUCGAAUCUUUGAACGCACAUUGCGCCCGCCAGUAUUCUGGCGGGCAUGCCUGUUCGAGCGUCAUUUCAACCAUCAAGCCCCCGGCUUGUGUUGGGGACCUGCGGCUGCCGCAGGCCCUGAAAACCAGUGGCGGGCUCGCUAGUCACUCCGAGCGUAGUAAUACAUCUCGCUCAGGGCGUGCUGCGGGUUCCGGCCGUUAAAAAGCCUUAUUUACCCAAGUUUGACCUCGGAUCAGGUAGGAAGACCCGCUGAACUUAAGCAUAUCAAUAAGCGGAGGA